rfam:Camelus ferus unplaced genomic scaffold scaffold2533, whole genome shotgun sequence.
GAGGGUAUAGCUCAGUGGUAGAGCACAUGCUUAGCAUGCAUGAGGUCCUGGGUUCAAUCCCCAGUACCUCCA